rnacentral:rRNA from 1 species
GCUUCCGAGGGUGCACAGAAUGACCGGUCAUGGUAAACGGCGGAUUAGGCAUAUAGACAUGCCUAAGCUUCAGAGCCCCCAGUGAGUAUUCCGAUCCUGGAUUCUAGUCAGGCCAGCCCGGUAUCGGAUGCAGCUAUCGAUUUGGCUAAGCUCCGCAGGCGCUUCAGUCGCGUUAAGCUGGAGCUACUCAUCAUGCAGGGAACUGAAGCUGAGUAUGUAGGGCAGAGGAUCCGGGUAGCGGUGAAUGCGUAGAUAUCGGGAGACACAGUGGCGAUGUCGCUCUGCUGUCAUACUGACGUCAUGACGAAAGCAGGGAGCGAAAGGGAUAGAUACCCCUGUAGUCCUGGCCGUAAACGAUGAACACUAGUGUCGGGGGAAUCGACCCCUUCGGUGUCGUAGCUAACGCGUAAGUGUUCCGCCUGGGGAGUACGCACGCAAGUGUGAAACUCAAAGGAAUUGACGGGGGCCCGCACAAGCGGUGGAGUAUGUGGUUUAAUUCGAUGCAACGCGAAGAACCUUACCAGGGUUUGACAUCCUGCGAACCUCUUAGAAAUUUGAGGGUGCCUUCGGGAAUGCAGUGACAGGUGGUGCAUGGCUGUCGUCAGCUCGUGUCGUGAGAUGUUGGGUUAAGUCCCGCAACGAGCGCAACCCACGUUUUUAGUUGCCAGCAUUUAGUUGGGCACUCUAGAAAGACCGCCGGUGAUAAACCGGAGGAAGGUGUGGAUGACGUCAAGUCAUCAUGCCCCUUACACCCUGGGCUACACACGUACUACAAUGCUACGGACAAAGGGCAGCAAACUCGCGAGAGCUAGCAAAUCCCAUAAACCGUGGCUCAGUUCAGAUCGUAGGCUGCAACUCGCCUACGUGAAGUAGGAAUCGCUAGUAAUCGCAGGUCAGCAUACUGCGGUGAAUACGUUCCCGGGCCUUGUACACACCGCCCGUCACACCAUGGAAGUUGGCCAUGCCCGAAGUCGUUACUCCAACCCUUGUGGAGGAGGACGCCGAAGGUGGGGCUAAUGACUGGGGCGAAGUCGUAACAAGGUAA